rnacentral:rRNA from 1 species
ACAAGUGAGAAUGCCGGUAUGAGUAACGAAAAGACUGGUGAGAAUCCAGUCCGCCGAAAACCUAAGGGUUCCUGAGGAAGGCUCGUCCGCUCAGGGUAAGUCGGGACCUAAGGCGAGGCCGAAAGGCGUAGUCGAUGGACAACAGGUUGACAUUCCUGUACCACCGUAAGCCGUUACGAGCAAUGGGGUGACGCAGAAGGGUAGUGACGCAGACUGAUGGAUGUCUGUCCAAGCAGUAAGGCUGGUCAGUAGGCAAAUCCGCUGACCGUAAGGCUGAGCUGUGACGGGGAGGGAACAUUGCAGUACCGAAGGUCAUGAUCUCAAGCUGCCGAGAAAAGCCUCUAGCCAGGCGAAGGUGCCCGUACCGCAAACCGACACAGGUGGGUGGGAAGAGAAUUCUAAGGCGCGCGGAAGAACUCUCGUUAAGGAACUCGGCAAAAUGACCCCGUAACUUCGGGAGAAGGGGUGCCUCGGUAGGGUGAAUAGCCCGAGGGGGCCGCAGUGAAAAGGCCCAAGCGACUGUUUAGCAAAAACACAGGUCUGUGCGAAGCCGUAAGGCGAAGUAUACGGGCUGACGCCUGCCCGGUGCUGGAAGGUUAAGGGGAGCGGUUAGGGGCAACCCGAAGCUGUGAACCGAAGCCCCAGUAAACGGCGGCCGUAACUAUAACGGUCCUAAGGUAGCGAAAUUCCUUGUCAGGUAAAUUCUGACCCGCACGAAUGGCGUAACGACUUGGGCGCUGUCUCAACGAGAGAUCCGGUGAAAUUUUAGUACCUGUGAAGAUGCAGGUUACCCGCGACGUGACGGAAAGACCCCAUGGAGCUUUACUGCAGCUUGAUAUUGGACUUUGGUACGAUCUGUACAGGAUAGGUGGGAGCCGUGGAAGUCGGAGCGCCAGCUUCGAUGGAGGCGCCGUUGGGAUACCACCCUGAUCGUAUUGGAGUUCUAACCUGCUACCGUGAUCCGGUAGAGGGACCGUGUCAGGCGGGCAGUUUGACUGGGGCGGUCGCCUCCUAAAAAGUAACGGAGGCGCCCCAAGGUUCCCUCAGAAUGGUUGGAAAUCAUUCGGAGAGUGCAAAGGCAUAAGGGAGCUUGACUGCAAGACCAACAAGUCGAGCAGGGACGAAAGUCGGGCUUAGUGAUCCGGUGGUACCGAAUGGAAGGGCCAUCGCUCAACGGAUAAAAGCUACCCUGGGGAUAACAGGCUUAUCUCCCCCAAGAGUCCACAUCGACGGGGAGGUUUGGCACCUCGAUGUCGGCUCAUCGCAUCCUGGGGCUGAAGUAGGUCCCAAGGGUUGGGCUGUUCGCCCAUUAAAGCGGUACGCGAGCUGGGUUCAGAACGUCGUGAGACAGUUCGGUCCCUAUCUGUCGUGGGCGUAGGAAAUUUGAGAGGAGCUGUCCUUAGUACGAGAGGACCGGGAUGGACGUACCGCUGGUGUACCAGUUGUCUCGCCAGAGGCAUAGCUGGGUAGCUACGUACGGAAGGGAUAAGCGCUGAAAGCAUCUAAGCGUGAAGCCCCCCUCAAGAUGAGAUUUCCCAAUUCGUAAGACCCCUGGUAGACGACCAGGUUGAUAGGUUCGGGGUGGAAGCGCAGCAAUGUGUGGAGCUGACGAAUACUAAUCGGUCGAGGGCUUAUCCUA